rnacentral:rRNA from 1 species
UACGUAGGGUGCGAGCGUUGUCCGGAUUUAUUGGGCGUAAAGAGCUCGUAGGCGGUCUGUCGCGUCGGAUGUGAAAACCCAGGGCUCAACCCUGGGCCUGCAUUCGAUACGGGCAGACUAGAGUACGGCAGGGGAGACUGGAAUUCCUGGUGUGGCGGUGAAAUGCGCAGAUAUCAGGAGGAACACCGGUGGCGAAGGCGGGUCUCUGGGCCGAAACUGACGCUGAGGAGCGAAAGCGUGGGGAGCGAACAGG